GAUGUGGGGACGGAGAAGGUUAACUCGGCCAGGUGUUGGAUAUCCUGGUUCAAGCUUGUAGUCGUGGCCCUUAGGCAAAUCCGGGGGUCUUAGAUGAGGAGUGAUAACGAGGCGGCUUGCCGCCGAAGCGAGCGAUACCCAGCUUCCAGGAAAAGCCACUAAGCUUCAGCUAUCGACGACCGUACCGCAAACCGACACUGGUGCGCGAGAUGAGUAUUCUAAGGCGCUUGAGAGAACUCUGGAGAAGGAACUCGGCAAAUUGACACCGUAACUUCG
rnacentral:rRNA from 1 species